ACAGCAGCAGCCACGGUAAUACGAAGGGUGCAAGCGUUAAUCGGAAUUACUGGGCGUAAAGCGUGCGUAGGCGGUGAGUUAGGUCUGCUGUGAAAUCCCCGGGCUCAACCUGGGAAUGGCAGUGGAUACUGGCUCGCUAGAGUGUGGCAGAGGGGGGUGGAAUUCCGCGUGUAGCAGUGAAAUGCGUAGAUAUGCGGAGGAACACCGAUGGCGAAGGCAGCCCCCUGGGCCAACACUGACGCUCAUGCACGAAAGCGUGGGGAGCAAACAGGAUUAGAUACCCCAGUAGUCCCUGUCUCUUAUAC
rnacentral:rRNA from 1 species